UUCACAGUGGCUAAGUUCAGU
rnacentral:miRNA from 13 species